UACAGAGGGUGCGAGCGUUACUCGGAAUUACUGGGCGUAAAGAGCGCGCAGGCGGUCGUUCAAGUCGCGUGUGAAAGCCCCCGGCUCAACUGGGGAGGGUCACGCGAUACUGAUCGACUCGAAGGCAGGAGAGGGUAGUGGAAUUCCCGGUGUAGUGGUGAAAUGCGUAGAUAUCGGGAGGAACACCAGUGGCGAAGGCGACUACCUGGCCUGUUCUUGACGCUGAGGCGCGAAAGCUAGGGGAGCAAACGGG
rnacentral:rRNA from 1 species